UACGUAGGGAGCAAGCGUUGUCCGGAAUUACUGGGCGUAAAGAGCUCGUAGGUGGUUUGUCGCGUUGUUCGUGAAAACUCACAGCUUAACUGUGGGCGUGCGGGCGAUACGGGCAGACUGGAGUACUGCAGGGGAGACUGGAAUUCCUGGUGUAGCGGUGGAAUGCGCAGAUAUCAGGAGGAACACCGGUGGCGAAGGCGGGUCUCUGGGCAGUAACUGACGCUGAGGAGCGAAAGCGUGGGGAGCGAACAGG
rnacentral:rRNA from 1 species